rnacentral:lncRNA from 1 species
CCUAUUCUAUUCUAACAGAGGGUGUAGUAGGGAGAAAAGAGCUGCUGCAGUUCUCGUGAAGAACUUUAAUAAAGAACAAUGUUAUUCCAUUUUUAUUUCAGGAUCAUUUCAGAGAAAAACCUUAGAAAACAUUACACGCAGAGUUGGAGUUCCAUGCCAAAGUCAGAUGGCAGCACUCCUAGAUGCACAAACUACCACUUGUUUCCUCCAUUCGUCUCUUGACCUUCCAUGCAUGCUUCUUCUCUUACACUUCUAGCUCCAAAGAUGAGACUGGGACGCUGUCAGACAGCCCGGUACCAGCCUUG